rnacentral:ribozyme from 1 species
AGAAAGAAAGAAAGAGAUAGAGAUAAAGAAAGAAUAAAAGUGUUUACAAAAGCUUUUUUUCUUUCUUUCUGUUUUUCUCUUUCUCUCUCUUUGUCUUUCUCUCUUUCUCUUCUCCCUCCCUACCCUCCUAAAUCGCAUCCGGGAGGAUGAAACAA